UUUUUUUUUUUUUUUUUUUUGGCCAAGCCCAUGGCAUGUAGAACUUCCCAGGCCAGAAAUGAAAAACAUACCACCACAGCAGCAACUGGAGCUGCUGCAGUGACAACACCAGAUCUUCAGCCCGUUGAGCCACAAGAGAACUCCCUGAAGGAUCUUUUAUCUUGGAAAUAUUUUUUAUUUCUUUAAUUUUUCUUCCUCUGCUAUGAAAUUUUCUGUUUUAUAAUUUUUUUAUUUUAAAUUAAAAAUUUUUUUUUUUUGCUUUUUAGGGCCACACCAGCGGCAUAUGGAAGUUCCCAGGCUAAGGGUCUAAUCAGAGCUACAGCUGCUGGCCUACACCACAGCCAUGGCAACGCAGGAUCUGAGCUGUGUUUAGUAUUCCUUACCCACUAAGCAAGGCUAGGAAUUGAACCCACAUCCUCAUGGAUACCAGUCAGAUUUGCUUCUACUACUCCUGUUUUUAAAAAACUUUAGGGGUUUCUAUUGUGGCUCAGUGGAAAUGAAUCUGACUAGUAUUCAUGAGGACACAGGUUUGAUCCCUGGCCUCACUCGGUGGAUUAAGAAUCCAGCAAUGCCGUGAGCUGUGGCCUUUUACUCUAUCUAAGGACCCAGGACCUGCAGGGGCUGUCUAACGUCUUCCCAGAGAGUCUAUUAGGAGAAGAAUUCUCCAAUUUCUUUGUCUUGGAGUAAUUGUGGGGCCACAGCAAUUCUGCAUUGGGAGUUGGGAGAGAGACGAGAGAACUCUCGUAAGUAUUACUUCUCUGUUCUCCCCUUCACUUGCUCUUCCUGGGCUGUGAUAGUGGUCAUUCCUAGUCCCCUUUCCAUAGCAGCAGUCCUCUCCUCUUCUGCUCUAAGUGGCUGCUGCCUCCUGACUGCUUCUUGGUCACACUCAUGUGUUGAGCUCUCCCAUAUGCUGAUGGUUUUGGCUGAGAGAUUUUUUAAAUUUUAAAUUCCUGUAAUAUUAGUAAGAUCUAAGAGAGAAUGGAGAUCAACGUGAAUGCUUUGAUCUGCCAUCUUGGCUAAAUUUCCCAUCCCAGAGAGCGAGCAAAAUGGUAUUUCUGAGUGUAAGAAUGCUUUCAGAAGAGAUUAGCAUCAGAAUCUACAGACUUUGUGGAGAAGAUGGUCCUUACCAGUGUGGGUGAGCAUCAUCCAAUUUGUUGAGGGCCUGAAAACAGAGAGGCCCAGGAAGAGUGACUAUGGUUUCUGCGCUUGAGCUGAGACAUCCAUGGUCUCCUGCCUUUGGACCCUGGUGCUCUUGGUUCUCACAUCCUUGGAUUGGGACCAAAUUAAACCACCAACUUUCCUGGUUCUCCAUCUUGCAGACUGCAGAUCAUGGGAUUUCUUGGCCUUCAUAAUGCAUGAGUCAAUUCCUAUAAUAAAUGCAGACAGAGAGACAUAAAGAUAUAUAAUUAAAUGUGUAUAUGUUAACUCAGCAUUAAUUUUUUUUUCAAUCUUCGGCACCAAUAAUCACCAUUCAGUCAAUAGUUAAUGAAGCAUCUAUUUAGUGCCAGAGAAUAGAAUAGAAUAGAAUAGAAUAGAAUAGAAUAGAGUAGAGUAGAGUAGAGUAGAAGUAGAGUAGAGUAGAGUAGAGUAGAGUAGAGUAGAGUAGAAUAGAAUAGAAUAGAAUAGAUUUAGAUCUAUUUUGUGCUGGAUGCCUAGGAUACAAUGGUGAGCAAAAAUGCAUAUAUUUCUGGCCCUCAUAUAGUUCACAGUCUUGUGAUCACACAAAGAAAUAUAAAAUUACAUCUGUGGUUAGCACUUUGAAAGAAUGGGACAUUAGUCUAUGAGAGUGAAUAGGAGAUUGCUAACCAAGUCUGAGAGGUAGGAGAAGGUUUCUGUGAGAAACUGAUUCAUAGUAGCAUAAUUUUCAAUCAAUGCCAUUGUAUAUUUUAUAAACAUGUAUGUCUACUGUUAUUGCAUAUAUAGAUUUCAUCAAACCCACACUGCAUGAGAGAUUGUAGAGUAGAAGUAAAAACUGUUCAGCCUAGGUGUCAGAGGACCUGAGGCCUGGGGUCUUUCCGUGUCAGCUUUGCCAACAGAUGGCUGCGUGGUCUUGGGCAGCUCAACUUAGCUUCUCCAGGCAGGAGUUUUUCAUCUAGACAGUGAAAGCACUGGAUGAAAUGACCUGUCAGAUCAUUUCCAGAGCUAAAAUUCUCUCGGGAAUUUCUCUUGUGGCACAGCAGUGAGGGAUCCAGCAUUGCCACAGCUGUGGUGCAGGCUGCAACUAUGGCACAGUUUCCAUCCUGGGCCAGGGAACUUCCAUAGGCUUUGGGUACAGCCAAAAAAAAAAAAAGUCUCAGGAGUUUCUACCAUGGCUCAGUGGUAACUAACCCAGCUAGUAUCCAUGAGGACACCAGUUUGAUCCCCAGCCUUGCUCAGUGGGUUAAAGAUCUGGUGUUGCCAUGAGCUAUUGUGUAGGUCAGCAGCUGCAGCUCCGAUUCAACCACUAGCCUGGGAACUUCCAUAUGCGGCAGGUGUGGCCCCCCCCCAAAAAAAAAGUCUCUCAAAAUUUGUACACUUUCAUUAAAAUCUUGUCUUUUGUAAGUGCCUUGACUUAAGAAAUAAUUCUGCUCAAGUCAUCUUCAUAUACUUCAUUAUUCUAAGAAAGGAUCACUUGCUUCAGAAUAUUUGGGGGUACUUAUCUAAUUUGUGUGUGUGUGGAAAAAGACAGAAGAGAAAAGAGAACUAAACACAUGUGAGUAACAUGUGUCAUUUUAAAUGAAAAUAGGAAUAUAUUUCUAUGUUGGCAAAUACAUAUUUUCUUAUUUCUGGGAGAUGUACUGCCUGAACAACAGGGUUUCAAUUAACAAUUACUUUUUUGGGAGUUCCCAUUAUGGCUCAGAGGAAACGAAUCUGACUAGUAUCCAUGAGGAUGCAAGUUCGAUCCCUUGUCUUGCUCAGUGGGUUAAGGAUCCGGCAUUGCCAUGAGCUGUGGUGUAGGUGGUAGUCAUGGUUCAGAUCCUGCAUUGCUGUGGCUGAGGGAUGACCCCUAGCCUGGAAACUUCCAUAC
rnacentral:lncRNA from 1 species